rnacentral:rRNA from 1 species
GAUGAACGCUGGCGGUGUGCCUAAUACAUGCGAGUCGAGCGAACAGACGAGGAGCUUGCUCCUCUGACGUUAGCGGCGGACGGGUGAGUAACAUGUGGAUAACCUACCUAUAAGACUGGGAUAACUUCGGGAAACCGGAGCUAAUACCGGAUAAUAUAUUGAAUCGCAUGGUUCAAGAGUGAAAGACGGUUUUGCUGUUACUAAUAGAUGUAUCCUCAUCACAUUAGAUAGUUGGUAAGGUAACGGCUUACCAAGGAAACGAUGCAUAGCCCACCUGAGAGGGUGAUCGGUCACUCUGUAACAGGGACGCGCACCCGCCUCCUAACGGAGACACCAGCCGGGCAUCUUCAGCAGCGGGCGUAAGCUUGACGGAGCAACGCCCCGUGGGUUAAGACAGUCUUAGCAUCGUAAAACUGUGUUAUUAGGGAAGAACAAAUGUGUAACUAACUAUGCACGUAUUGCCGGUCCCUAAUAAGAAAGCCCCGGCUAACUACGUG